rnacentral:rRNA from 1 species
UUGGAGGGCAAGUCUGGUGCCAGCAGCCGCGGUAAUUCCAGCUCCAAUAGCGUAUAUUAAAGUUGUUGCAGUUAAAAAGCUCGUAGUUGAAUUUCGGGAUCAAUGGAUUGGUCAUGCCGUUGGUAUGUACUGAUUUUAUUGAUUCUCACCUUCUAAAGAAUCAUAAUGCCAUUAAUUUGGUGUUGUGAGGAAUUAGGACUGUUACCUUGAAAAAAUUAGAGUGUUUAAAGCAGGCUUACGCUUGAAUACAUUAGCAUGGAAUAACGAAAUAGGACAUCGCAUUCUAUUUUGUUGGUUUCUAGGAUCGAAGUAAUGAUUAAUAGGGAUAGUUGGGGGCAUUAGUAUUCAAUUGUCAGAGGCGAAAUUCUUGGAUUUAUUGAAGACUAACUACUGCGAAAGCAUUCGCCAAGGAUGUUUUUAUUAAUCAAGAACGAAAGUUAGGGGAUCGAAGACGAUCAGAUACCGUCGUAGUCUUAACCAUAAACUAUGCCGACUAGGGAUCGGAUGAUGUUAAUUUUUUAAUGACUCAUUCGGCACCUUACGGGAAAC